AUGGAGAAAUGCACACCUGACGAUGAGUACGUGUUUUGUGUCAUCUGGCAGACUAUGGCUGAGUUGCUGACCUUCACGACGUGGCUGACAUCACGGGGCCUAAGAUUGGAAACGGCACAAGUCAUGAUUAAGGAGCUGGGCAUCGAGAGCCAAGAGUUGCUUCGAACCUGCACAGAGUCUGACAUGUUGAGAGCCGAGCUGUUAUCGAUCGCCAAACACAAGUUUGCUUUUGCAAUGUACGCCGAGCUGCAUAACUUCAUUUAUUCAUACUCGGAACUGCGAGCCAUCCAACCUACGGGCUCUGCCCUAGUGGGUGUUUUGUGCUCGAUGCUGAAUACCGUGAGUCAAGAGCUGUCUCACUGUGCCCAGAAGCUCAGCUUGUUGACGUCAACGGGUAACGAUGGACAGUUUCAGAAUGAUGGAGGGGUCAUCGGAAUCAGGAUAAGUGACGUAUGCAGCCUUCAUCCGGAGGAGGAUGGAGCAAGCUCCCAAUCUGAUAUUCCAGAAGAGGAAGGCAACAUUCCUCAAACCUCACAAGAUUCUUUCAUUGCUUUCAUGGAUGAUUCACCAAAGAAAUCCAGCGAUAUUCAACCUCCAGAACCAAGGGAAGAAGUUCCAGUGGAGGUGGGAAGCUUUCAAGGUUACACUCAUCUGUCUUCACAAGAAUCUCUUAUUACCUCCGUCACCAAAGGUGGGCAGAGGUUAUGUUUUCACCUCUGACUGUCUGUCUGUCUGUCAGUCAGAUUCAGAAAUUGUGGAUUCGGAUGGGGCCCAAAACGAUAUGUAGCACGAUAUUUCAAAAAGUUGUGCAUGAAUUUGGAUGAAAAUUUUGUGGCCAGGUUGGUUGUGUGACAAGUUAGAAUUGGUUAAAUUUUGGUGAAGACCUGAAUUCGAGAAUUUUUAAGUGAAUUUUUCACCAUUGAUAGAAAGGGCCAGCAACGAAAUAUAGCAUGAUAUCUCAAAAAAUAUGAAUGGAUUCAGACGGAACUUGAUGGAUGAGUUGGGUAAGUGACGAGAACAAGCCGAUUCGAUUCUGGUUAAGUCUGGGUCCAGAUCCAGCCUGUCAUUAGGAUACAAAAUGUAAACUGUUCAGCCUGGUAGAGGUAUGGACUCUACCGAGUACCGUUCUGGUUAUCUUCAUGUAUUAUUAAUUGACGGGCAGGCAUAACUUUGCUGAAAUGCAUCGCACGAGUUUGGCUGAAUUGUUGGUAUAUUGGUCCAUUUAACCAUUUAUAUGCUUUGCAGAUCUUAUUAUCGGAAUUAAGGAAGAAUCAAACAUUGUGGAUGUGUCAUCCUUCCAAGGUAAGGGUUUUAACAAUAAUACCAUUUUAUCAAGUGUUGGAAGUAUUUCUCGACAUGGAUGUUGGUUAACACCUUCUGAUUUUGGUGUCUGAAACAAAUGAGGCCCAGAUGGUGACAAAUCACUCGUGUGGGUCCAGUACCAAAGGACUGGUUUCAUAAUGCCUUGUUUUUUUUUUUUUAAUUCAAGAGAUGAAGUCCUCAUGAAGCCAUAAAAGUUUUGUUCCUUUAAACUUUAAAAUAAUUUUGUUUGACUUUCUGUGUUAGGGAUAUAAAUGAAAUGUAUGUUGCAUGAGAAUAUUUCCAUUGGACUCUCAUUCCCCUCAUUAUAUUUUGGCUUGCUUUUCCAAAGAUCAUUCACGUCAUCAUUUUUGACUAAAUGUACAAAAAAGUUUACUUAGUUCACUGAUAAUGUUGACACUGCAUGUUGUGUUUUUAAUCUUAGCCAUCAGACAUCCAUUUUGUAUCCAGAACCGGGCGUAGUGGCGUGCGCCUGUAAUCCGGCGACUCGGAGGGUUGGGUUGGAGGAUCGCUUGAGGACGGGAG
ensembl:lincRNA